rnacentral:misc_RNA from 1 species
CCCAUGACAGAUGUGAAAUACCGGGCAGCUGUUUUUCUAUCACGUCGCGCGGGAGAUGCGAGAGUUGUAGAUGCAGAUGAUCUUUAUUCGGUCCCACGCCUCUGCGGAUGGAAGUCAUGAUAGCCGUGAAUUCGAAUAAUCGGGCGUUCGCCUAUUGGCUGAGGUUGCAUCUCAACGGCAUUCUACGAGCAUGCAAUGACCUACCACACGGCAAUUUUAAAGCGCAACUAACCGGUUGGAUGAAACUGUAUAAACUCCAUAUCUUGGAGAGGUAUUCCAGCGCGG